ensembl:ncRNA F48C1.12 ncRNA
CGGAAAAUAGUGAAAGACCGACGAUCACAUCGGAAACGAAACAUUCGUGACGUCAUUUUGGUUUCUGUCUCGGAGAGGAGUCCCUUUCGAUUCGGUGUCCAGUCUCGUUCCCCCUCUCUCCGACGAUUGGAGGAG